rnacentral:rRNA from 1 species
UUAAGCGACUAAGCGUACACGGUGGAUGCCCUGGCAGUCAGAGGCGAUGAAGGACGUGCUAAUCUGCGAUAAGCGUCGGUAAGGUGAUAUGAACCGUUAUAACCGGCGAUUUCCGAAUGGGGAAACCCAGUGUGWUUCGWCACACUAUCAUUAACUGAAUCCAUAGGUUAAUGAGGCGAACCGGGGGAACUGAAACAUCUAAGUACCCCGAGGAAAAGAAAUCAACCGAGAUUCCCCCAGUAGCGGCGAGCGAACGGGGAGSAGCCCAGAGCCUGAAUCAGUGUGUGUGUUAGUGGAAGCGUCUGGAAAGGCGCGCGAUACAGGGUGACAGCCCCGUACACAAAAAUGCACAURCUGUGAGCUCGAUGAGUAGGGCGGGACACGUGGUAUCCUGUCUGAAUAUGGGGGGACCAUCCUCCAAGGCUAAAUACUCCUGACUGACCGAUAGUGAACCAGUACCGUGAGGGAAAGGCGAAAAGAACCCCGGCGAGGGGAGUGAAAAAGAACCUGAAACCGUGUACGUACAAGCAGUGGGAGCCUCUUUUAUGGGGUGACUGCGUACCUUUUGUAUAAUGGGUCAGCGACUUAUAUUCUGUAGCAAGGUUAACCGAAUAGGGGAGCCGAAGGGAAACCGAGUCUUAACUGGGCGUUAAGUUGCAGGGUAUAGACCCGAAACCCGGUGAUCUAGCCAUGGGCAGGUUGAAGGUUGGGUAACACUAACUGGAGGACCGAACCGACUAAUGUUGAAAAAUUAGCGGAUGACUUGUGGCUGGGGGUGAAAGGCCAAUCAAACCGGGAGAUAGCUGGUUCUCCCCGAAAGCUAUUUAGGUAGCGCCUCGUGAAUUCAUCUCCGGGGGUAGAGCACUGUUUCGGCAAGGGGGUCAUCCCGACUUACCAACCCGAUGCAAACUGCGAAUACCGGAGAAUGUUAUCACGGGAGACACACGGCGGGUGCUAACGUCCGUCGUGAAGAGGGAAACAACCCAGACCGCCAGCUAAGGUCCCAAAGUCAUGGUUAAGUGGGAAACGAUGUGGGAAGGCCCAGACAGCCAGGAUGUUGGCUUAGAAGCAGCCAUCAUUUAAAGAAAGCGUAAUAGCUCACUGGUCGAGUCGGCCUGCGCGGAAGAUGUAACGGGGCUAAACCAUGCACCGAAGCUGCGGCAGCGACRCUUAUGYGUUGUUGGGUAGGGGAGCGUUCUGUAAGCCUGUGAAGGUGUGCUGUGAGGYAUGCUGGAGGUAUCAGAAGUGCGAAUGCUGACAUAAGUAACGAUAAAGCGGGUGAAAAGCCCGCUCGCCGGAAGACCAAGGGUUCCUGUCCAACGUUAAUCGGGGCAGGGUGAGUCGACCCCUAAGGCGAGGCCGAAAGGCGUAGUCGAUGGGAAACAGGUUAAUAUUCCUGUACUUGGUGUUACUGCGAAGGGGGGACGGAGAAGGCUAUGUUGGCCGGGCGACGGUUGUCCCGGUUUAAGCGUGUAGGCUGGUUUUCCAGGCAAAUCCGGAAAAUCAAGGCUGAGGCGUGAUGACGAGGCACUACGGUGCUGAAGCAACAAAUGCCCUGCUUCCAGGAAAAGCCUCUAAGCAUCAGGUAACAUCAAAUCGUACCCCAAACCGACACAGGUGGUCAGGUAGAGAAUACCAAGGCGCUUGAGAGAACUCGGGUGAAGGAACUAGGCAAAAUGGUGCCGUAACUUCGGGAGAAGGCACGCUGAUAUGUAGGUGAAGUCCCUCGCGGAUGGAGCUGAAAUCAGUCGAAGAUACCAGCUGGCUGCAACUGUUUAUUAAAAACACAGCACUGUGCAAACACGAAAGUGGACGUAUACGGUGUGACGCCUGCCCGGUGCCGGAAGGUUAAUUGAUGGGGUCAGCGCAAGCGAAGCUCUUGAUCGAAGCCCCGGUAAACGGCGGCCGUAACUAUAACGGUCCUAAGGUAGCGAAAUUCCUUGUCGGGUAAGUUCCGACCUGCACGAAUGGCGUAAUGAUGGCCAGGCUGUCUCCACCCGAGACUCAGUGAAAUUGAACUCGCUGUGAAGAUGCAGUGUACCCGCGGCAAGACGGAAAGACCCCGUGAACCUUUACUAUAGCUUGACACUGAACAUUGAGCCUUGAUGUGUAGGAUAGGUGGGAGGCUUWGAAGUGUGGACGCCAGUCUGCAUGGAGCCGACCUUGAAAUACCACCCUUUAAUGUUUGAUGUUCUAACGUKGACCCGURAUCCGGGUUGCGGACAGUGUCUGGUGGGUAGUUUGACUGGGGCGGUCUCCUCCUAAAGAGUAACGGAGGAGCACGAAGGUUGGCUAAUCCUGGUCGGACAUCAGGAGGUUAGUGCAAUGGCAUAAGCCAGCUUGACUGCGAGCGUGACGGCGCGAGCAGGUGCGAAAGCAGGUCAUAGUGAUCCGGUGGUUCUGAAUGGAAGGGCCAUCGCUCAACGGAUAAAAGGUACUCCGGGGAUAACAGGCUGAUACCGCCCAAGAGUUCAUAUCGACGGCGGUGUUUGGCACCUCGAUGUCGGCUCAUCACAUCCUGGGGCUGAAGUAGGUCCCAAGGGUAUGGCUGUUCGCCAUUUAAAGUGGUACGCGAGCUGGGUUUAGAACGUCGUGAGACAGUUCGGUCCCUAUCUGCCGUGGGCGCUGGAGAACUGAGGGGGGCUGCUCCUAGUACGAGAGGACCGGAGUGGACGCAUCACUGGUGUUCGGGUUGUCAUGCCAAUGGCACUGCCCGGUAGCUAAAUGCGGAAGAGAUAAGUGCUGAAAGCAUCUAAGCACGAAACUUGCYCCGAGAUGAGUUCUCCCUGACCCUUUAAGGGUCCUGAAGGAACGUUGAAGACGACGACGUUGAUAGGCCGGGUGUGUAAGCGCAGCGAUGCGUUGAGCUAACCGGUACUAAUGAACCGUGAGGCUUAACCUU